UUUGUGGCCAAAGGCUGUUUCCUAGAGGAAGGGGCUGGUGUAACCUUCGGCAGACAGCGCUCUCAGCAGCAGGCUUAUGGGAUCGAUGAAGGAAGCUAAUAGCAUUCACACCAGAGUGUCUCUAUCUUCUUUUUCCUGUAAACUCGGCAUAAAUCUAGAGGCCUGAUCCAAAUCAGGCUUUAAAUUUGGCGAGACCACUGUUAUGGUUUGAGUGUUUGUCCCAUCCAGAACUCAUGAUGGAAAUUCCCAAUGUGUCAGUAUUGGAAGGUGGAGCUUUUAACAGGCAAUUGGGUCAUAAAGACCCUGCCCUUGUGAAUGGAUUAAUCCAUUCACAGAUUAAUGGAUUAAUGGGUUAUCAUGGGAGUGGGACUGGCGGCUUUUUAAGAGAAAGCAAGACCUGAGCCCGCAAGCUCAGCCUCCUCACCUGGAGUGCCCAGCGCAACCCCAGGUCUCUGCAGAUGGCCCCCUCACCAGCUGUGCCUCUCAGGACUUCCGAGGCUCCAGAACUGAAAACAUUUAAUCCAGAAGAACUCCAAGAUUAAGAUUUCAGAUUUAAAAAUUUCAUGAUGAAACCUACCAACUUUUAUUGAGGACAGCAAAAGGGAAAACCACUCCAAGAGAUAAAUUACCCAUGACACCUGCCAUAAACGUUCUGUUACUUUUUGGGAGACCAGAAGCCUACAGAUACUGAUUCUACAUCAUGAGAACACGUGAAGCAAUAUGUUUUCCUAAAGCUAGAGAAGAGAGACUGGGUAGGGUGAGUAGAGAAGGAUGAGGAUGAAGAGAAAUAGGUCAAAGAGCACAUACAAUUAGAUGGAAUAUAUUUGUGUUCGAUAGAGUAGGAAGAUAGUUAAAAAUGUAUACCCUGACUUGACCACUAUACAUAUGUAACCCCAUGAAUUUGUACAAAAACGGUUUUUCUAGACAGACUAAACUUUUAGUUUACUUUCAACCAAUUCACUUCAAAUAAAGUCAGGGCUGGUGGUGCCUGCA